GGACAAUGGGCGAAAGCCUGAUCCAGCCAUGCCGCGUGUGUGAAGAAGGCCUUCGGGUUGUAAAGCACUUAAGCGAGGAGGAAUGGCUCUGGGUUAAUACCCUUGAGCAGUGACGUUACUCGCAGAAUAAGCACCGGCUAACUCUGUGCCAGCAGCCGCGGUAAUACAGAGGGUGCAAGCGUUAAUCGGAAUUACUGGGCGUAAAGCGCGCGUAGGCGGUUGCGUAAGUUGGAUGUGAAAUCCCCGGGCUCAACCGGGAAUUGCAUCAAAACUGCGCGGCUAGAGUGUGGGAGAGGAAGGUAGAAUUCCAGGUGUAGCGGUGAAAUGCGUAGAUAUCUGGAGGAAUACCGAUGGCGAAGGCAGCCUUCUGGCCUAACACUGACGCUGAGGUGCGAAAGCAUGGGGAGCAAACAGGAUUAGAUACCCUGGUAGUCCAUGCCGUAAACGAUGUCUACUAGCCGUUGGGGGACUUGAUCCUUUAGUGGCGCAGCUAACGCAUUAAGUAGACCGCCUGGGGAGUACGGUCGCAAGACUAAAACUCAA
rnacentral:rRNA from 1 species